AUGGAGAAGAAUGGAGCUUACCAACAGGAGAGAGUCUGGCGCCUUUGCAAACUCGACAAAGAUGAAGAGAAGACCAGCAAAUGCGCUCCAAGACCUUCAAGCUGCCAUGGUAAAUUUGUUGAAGGAAGCAUGAAGAAGUUUAGGCAUUGUGCAAGCAAGGUUGAAGUGAGAAGAAACAUAAGUAGGAUGGAAGAUUAUAACUAA